rnacentral:rRNA from 1 species
CGAAAUUCCUUGUCGGGUAAGUUCCGACCUGCACGAAUGGCGUAAUGAUGGCCAGGCUGUCUCCACCCGAGACUCAGUGAAAUUGAACUCGCUGUGAAGAUGCAGUGUACCCGCGGCAAGACGGAAAGACCCCGUGAACCUUUACUAUAGCUUGACACUGAACAUUGAGCCUUGAUGUGUAGGAUAGGUGGGAGGCUUUGAAGUGUGGACGCCAGUCUGCAUGGAGCCGACCUUGAAAUACCACCCUUUAAUGUUUGAUGUUCUAACGUGGACCCGUGAUCCGGGUUGCGGACAGUGUCUGGUGGGUAGUUUGACUGGGGCGGUCUCCUCCUAAAGAGUAACGGAGGAGCACGAAGGUUGGCUAAUCCUGGUCGGACAUCAGGAGGUUAGUGCAAUGGCAUAAGCCAGCUUGACUGCGAGCGUGACGGCGCGAGCAGGUGCGAAAGCAGGUCAUAGUGAUCCGGUGGUUCUGAAUGGAAGGGCCAUCGCUCAACGGAUAAAAGGUACUCCGGGGAUAACAGGCUGAUACCGCCCAAGAGUUCAUAUCGACGGCGGUGUUUGGCACCUCGAUGUCGGCUCAUCACAUCCUGGGGCUGAAGUAGGUCCCAAGGGUAUGGCUGUUCGCCAUUUAAAGUGGUACGCGAGCUGGGUUUAGAACGUCGUGAGACAGUUCGGUCCCUAUCUGCCGUGGGCGCUGGAGAACUGAGGGGGGCUGCUCCUAGUACGAGAGGACCGGAGUGGACGCAUCACUGGUGUUCGGGUUGUCAUGCCAAUGGCACUGCCCGGUAGCUAAAUGCGGAAGAGAUAAGUGCUGAAAGCAUCUAAGCACGAAACUUGCCCCGAGAUGAGUUCUCCCUGACCCUUUAAGGGUCCUGAAGGAACGUUGAAGACGACGACGUUGAUAGGCCGGGUGUGUAAGCGCAGCGAUGCGUUGAGCUAACCGGUACUAAUGAACCGUGAGGCUUAACCUU